CAAUAUCUCUCUAACCUCUUUUUUCUCUUCUGUAGCUCGUAGCCACCACCGCUUAUUCUUUAGGCAUUCUUUCUCAACUUGUCUCAACUGCUCUUUAAUGGUUUCUAGGCAGUGGUCAGCUUGCUCCAUGCCUAUUUUCACUUUCUUUCUCUUAUGUUCUUCUUUGUCGACCUUUUCCUCAGUUGCUUCAAGCUGGGCC
rnacentral:lncRNA from 1 species